GGGUUGUGAGGUUAAGCGACUAAGCGUACACGGUGGAUGCCCUGGCAGUCAGAGGCGAUGAAGGACGUGCUAAUCUGCGAUAAGCGUCGGUAAGGUGAUAUGAACCGUUAUAACCGGCGAUUUCCGAAUGGGGAAACCCAGUGUGUUUCGACACACUAUCAUUAACUGAAUCCAUAGGUUAAUGAGGCGAACCGGGGGAACUGAAACAUCUAAGUACCCCGAGGAAAAGAAAUCAACCGAGAUUCCCCCAGUAGCGGCGAGCGAACGGGGAGGAGCCCAGAGCCUGAAUCAGUGUGUGUGUUAGUGGAAGCGUCUGGAAAGGCGCGCAAUACAGGGUGACAGCCCCGUACACAAAAAUGCACAUACUGUGAGCUCGAUGAGUAGGGCGGGACACGUGGUAUCCUGUCUGAAUAUGGGGGGACCAUCCUCCAAGGCUAAAUACUCCUGACUGACCGAUAGUGAACCAGUACCGUGAGGGAAAGGCGAAAAGAACCCCGGCGAGGGGAGUGAAAAAGAACCUGAAACCGUGUACGUACAAGCAGUGGGAGCCUCUUUUAUGGGGUGACUGCGUACCUUUUGUAUAAUGGGUCAGCGACUUAUAUUCUGUAGCAAGGUUAACCGAAUAGGGGAGCCGAAGGGAAACCGAGUCUUAACUGGGCGUUAAGUUGCAGGGUAUAGACCCGAAACCCGGUGAUCUAGCCAUGGGCAGGUUGAAGGUUGGGUAACACUAACUGGAGGACCGAACCGACUAAUGUUGAAAAAUUAGCGGAUGACUUGUGGCUGGGGGUGAAAGGCCAAUCAAACCGGGAGAUAGCUGGUUCUCCCCGAAAGCUAUUUAGGUAGCGCCUCGUGAAUUCAUCUCCGGGGGUAGAGCACUGUUUCGGCAAGGGGGUCAUCCCGACUUACCAACCCGAUGCAAACUGCGAAUACCGGAGAAUGUUAUCACGGGAGACACACGGCGGGUGCUAACGUCCGUCGUGAAGAGGGAAACAACCCAGACCGCCAGCUAAGGUCCCAAAGUCAUGGUUAAGUGGGAAACGAUGUGGGAAGGCCCAGACAGCCAGGAUGUUGGCUUAGAAGCAGCCAUCAUUUAAAGAAAGCGUAAUAGCUCACUGGUCGAGUCGGCCUGCGCGGAAGAUGUAACGGGGCUAAACCAUGCACCGAAGCUGCGGCAGCGACACUAUGUGUUGUUGGGUAGGGGAGCGU
rnacentral:rRNA from 1 species